UACGAACCGUACAAACGUUAUUCGGAAUCACUGGGCUUAAAGGGUGCGUAGGCGGCCAUGUAAGUGAGGUGUGAAAUCCCUCGGCUCAACCGAGGAACUGCGCUUCAUACUGCAUGGCUUGAGGGAGACAGGGGUAAGCGGAACUGAUGGUGGAGCGGUGAAAUGCGUUGAUAUCAUCAGGAACGCCGGUGGCGAAAGCGGCUUACUGGGUCUCUUCUGACGCUGAGGUACGAAAGCUAGGGUAGCGAACGGGGA
rnacentral:rRNA from 1 species